CCAUCACACAGAAGAGCGCACGGACGGACACGAACCGCCGUAUGGAUCCGCGCGAUGGUGUCACGCUGUGUGACGCAACCAUUCGAGUUUGAGAAAUAGCCCAGAACGGAUGAGAGACGUUUGCUGCUGUGCUGGGAUUGGCGUGCUGUUUUUUUGUUUGUUGUUUGUUUGCCUCGCAGCACCAACAUUUUAACCUACACUCCGCUCCCGUACGGAACGGACGUGCCAAGUGUGUGUGUGUGUGUGUGUGUGAUAAACGUGACCUUUAAAAACCAAGUGCUUCAACAUACAUCAACUCCGGUGUGGAGUGUGGAACGAUCAUGCCGUAGUCAAUUCUUACGUUGAAGUGUCCUUCCAGAAGUUGGGUCAAAGUUCAGGACACAGAAAAGUUCUUUCUCCCCGUUGGGAGGGCAAAUCAUCAACGUGAUAAGAAGUGUGUGUGUGUGUGUGUGUGAGGGAGAGAAAAAUUAAACACAGUGUCAAAUUAUCCAUCAGGCCCGGUUUUGGCUGCGUUUGCUUAAGCGGUGUUUGUUCACACACCCUCCUUUGAUUCCACCCCCCCCCCUGCUGGAAGGUAGACGGGACAAUGUUUAUCUUUCUACUGUUUGCCUCGGACGGUUGCCGAAAUGUGUGCCAAAUAUUCUCCCAACGGUUGGUGGCCCGGCUCCGCAAGCAUCGGCGCAAACGGGAGGAUGGCAGCCCUUCCGCAACGCCAGUCCCUCCUUCGUCAGCAUCAUCACCACCACCACCAUCACCACGCUGGACUGCCUGCCUAAGGACGUGGAUCAAGUGUGUCUGUGCCGGGUCGUGUAGUGUCGCCGCCACCGCAACGACCACCUCGGAGGAGCAUACGCGCGCAGGCGGCUGGGGCACGGUGGCCAAGCUGCUGUUCCACAAGCUCCUACACCAGGCGUGAUAGCAGCUGGCCCAACCGCACCCUGCAAAUGGAGGCAACUUUUCAUAAAAGGCAGUGAUGAGGCUAUGAGUACGAUGAGAAAUGUUACCCCCACAGGAGGAGUAAAUUUGAUGCAGUUUGGCGCCCGCAGCAUUAUGGGUGGAAAGGUGGGCAAUUUGAAACUAGACACUAGUCGUUACGCUACUUUUCCGCUUUGCUUUCCAUCAUCGUAGUAUGUACUACUGUGCUCAACUUCUUUGACUACUUCUAUGGCCAAACACGCGAGGUGGAUUCAUAAAAAAAACCCCCCUGUGGUUGAAGUUUUAAAGUAUUGUGAGAACGCAUAAACGUUUUGUUCUUCGCUAGUAGCAAAAACAAAAAAAAAACACACAAGUUUAAUAGAAUGUAUAAAAUGUAUGGCAGAGAGAAAGUGAUGAAUAAAGCGAUGCAAAUAAUAAUGUUUC